UACGGAGGAUGCAAGCGUUAUCCGGAAUUAUUGGGCGUAAAGCGUCCGCAGGUGGUUUAUCAAGUCUGCUGUCAAAGCGCGAGGCUUAACUUCGUAAAGGCAGUGGAAACUGAUAGACUGGAGUGCGGUAGGGGCAGAGGGAAUUCCCAGUGUAGCGGUGAAAUGCGCAGAUAUUAGGAGGAACACCGGUGGCGAAGGCGCCACUCUGGGCCGAAACUGACGCUGAGGAGCGAAAGCGUGGGUAGCAAACAGG
rnacentral:rRNA from 1 species